rnacentral:rRNA from 1 species
GUCGAGCGAGAAGUGACUUCGGUCGCGAGUAAAGCGGCGAACGGGUGAGUACAACGUGGAUAAUCUACCCUAGGGUCUGGGACAACCCCGAGAAAUCGGGGCUAAUACCGGAUAAGACCACAGUAUCCAAGGAUACAGCGGUAAAAGAUUUAUCGCCUUUGGAUGAGUCCACGCCCCAUCAGGUAGUUGGUAAGGUAAAGGCUUACCAAGCCUAAGACGGGUAGCCGGCCUUAGCGGGUGAACGGCCACAUGGGGACUGAGACACGGCCCUGACUCCUACGGGAGGCAGCAGUGGGGAAUAUUGGGCAAUGGGCGAAAGCCUGACCCAGCGAUGCCGCGUGAGGGAUGAAGGCCUUCGGGUUGUAAACCUCUGUCAGGAGGGACGAUGGGACACUUGUGUCUUGACGGUACCUCCAGAGGAAGCCCCGGCUAACUCCGUGCCAGCAGCCGCGGUAAUACGGAGGGGGCAAGCGUUGCUCGGAAUUACUGGGCGUAAAGGGUCCGCAGGCUGUCAGGCAAGUUGGUUGUGAAAGCUCAAGGCUUAACCUUAGAAUUGCAUCCAAAACUGCCUGACUAGAGUCCAAGAGAGGUUGGCGGAAUUCCCGGUGUAGCGGUGAAAUGCAUAGAUAUCGGGAGGAACACCAGAGGCGAAGGCGGCCAACUGGCUUGGUACUGACGCUCAGGGACGAAAGCGUGGGUAGCAAACCGGAUUAGAUACCCGGGUAGUCCACGCCCUAAACGAUGGAUGCUAGGUAGGGGGAAUUUAAUUCUCCCUGCCGUAGUUAACGCAUUAAGCAUCCCGCCUGGGGAGCACGGUCGCAAGGCUGAAACUCAAAGGAAUUGGCGGGGGCCCGCACAAGCGGUGGAGCACGUGGUUUAAUUCGAUGCUAAGCGAAAA